UACAUGUGGGGCAAGCGUUGUUCGGAAUUACUGGGCAUAAAGGGUGCGUAGGUGGCGGGGUAAGUCUGGUGUGAAAUCUCGGGGCUCAACCCCGAAACUGCACUGGAUACUGCCUUGCUUGAGUACUGGAGAGGAGAUUGGAAUUUACGGUGUAGCAGUGAAAUGCGUAGAUAUCGUAAGGAAGACCAGUGGCGAAGGCGAAUCUCUGGACAGUUACUGACACUGAGGCACGAAGGCGAGGGGAGCAAACGGG
rnacentral:rRNA from 1 species